ensembl:lncRNA
GCUCCAGGGACCCCCAGAGGGAGCGCUCGCAGGCCAGCAGGACCAAUAAGAUCGCCUCCCGCAUCUACCAGGCCCCCGUCCCCUUCAUGAGGAAGUCGCUCAGCGUGACAGGCCCCUCCAGAACCCUCUCCGGCUUCAUCCCACCACGACACUUCCUCAAGAAGUCCGUCAGCUUGGGACAGAGGUGGGAGCCCCUGGAGGAGCCGCGGCCGUACGUCUCCGAGAGGUACUACAGAGACGAGCUCCCCCAACCUGAGGUCAUGCUUAAGUCCUACAGCCUGGGCCGAAUGCCUCCAUCCUCUUACGGCAGACCCUCCUGGCAGGGUUUAGUACCGGUCCACCGCUCCGGUAGUGGUAGCCUAGAACGCCACCACCCCGCGGAACGCCACCACCCCGCGAAACGACAUCACCCCGCGGAACGCCACCACCCCGCGGAACGCCACCACCCUGCGGAACGACAUCACCCCGCAGAAAGGACUUACCCCUUAGACAGGCCCUACCCUGCAGACAGGCCCUACCCCUUAGACCGCCCCUACCCCACAGACAGGCCCUACCCUGCAGACCGGCCCUACUCCAUAGACCGCCCCUACAUGAUCCCCUCCUACGUUACUCAUGGCCCCCCCAUCAUGGAGCUCCCAAGGCAUGUCGACCCCCCCAUCUCCACCCACCGUGACUGGCCGGACCCUCGCCGACAGGCCGCGGUGUUCCCGGACGCGAUGCGGUGCCCACUCACCUACGAGGAAACCCUGAGGGCCGUGCAGCACAAAUACGUGCCCCUUGACCCCUCCUACCCCCACCUGCCACCCCGCCCGGGCACCAGGGUGGACUACCCUCACCCCGUAGACUCCCGACGCGGACCCCAGAGGACGGACUUGCCCCGGGGGUACAGCUGGCCUUCGCCCUACCACCCCAGCCCCUUCCCCCCCAGAGAGGUGGAGUACCAGCGGGAGGUGGAGCGGGCGCUGGGCGUGGGGAUGGUGCCCAGGGAGGUGGAGUACCUGCGUGAGAGCAGGGAGGGCAGGGCCAGCUACGCCAGCCAGAGCAGUGGGCGUGGCAGCGUGGGGCCCUACGGGCACAGCGGGCACCUGCGGCAGUCCAUCUCCAUGACGCCCACGCUGAUGAGCUCGCCCGAGACCACCGAGGACAGCCAGCGUCUGCGGGCCGACGCCGACCUUCGCCACAGGCGGGGACAAAGAAGGAACACGUCAGUGGAUGAGAGUUAUGAGUGGGACACCGUGGAGCAGUCAGUGGACCCCGAGGACCUGGGGGCCGUGAAGGGGGAGCAGACUCAGGCUCGGGGGGACCGGGGCCAGGAGCCCCACAGGAAGCCCCCCUGCUCCUCCCCGGACCCCCAGGACCCUCACAGCAAAGGCCUCUCUCCAACCGUCAGUCCUCCAACCGUAUCCCAUGCUCCUCAAAGUCAGUGCAGCCAUUCCCUGAGCGAGGCUCGCUUUAACGCCUUGCGUCAGGAAUACCAGGAGUACCGUCGAGCCCAGGACUGCUCCUACUCCAGAGAACCCUUCUACCCUUCCUCAGACCCCGAGUCCGACUCCAACUCCGCCCUGCUCUGAGAGUACCAUCCCUGCCCCGCCCCGCCCCUCCCCGCCUGGUC